rnacentral:rRNA from 1 species
AGAGUUUGAUUCUGGCUCAGAAUAAACGCUGGCGGCGUGCCUAACACAUGCAAGUCGAGCGAGAAAGUUCCUUCGGGAAUGAGUACAGCGGCGGACGGGUGAGCAACGCGUGAGAAUCUGCCCUUCAGUGAAGAAUACCGUCGAGAAAUCGACGUUAAUGCUGCAUACGUCCCUUCGGGGAGAAAAGUGGCCUCUUUGCUACUGCUGAAGGAUGAGCUUGCGUACUAUUAGCUAGUUGGUGGGGUAAAGGCCUACCAAGGCGAUGAUGGUUAACCGGCCUGAGAGGGUGUUCGGUCACACUGGAACUGAGAUACGGUCCAGACUCCUACGGGAGGCAGCAGUGAGGAAUAUUGCGCAAUGGGCGAAAGCCUGACGCAGCGACGCCGCCGUGGAGGAUGAAGGUCUUCGGAUUGUAAACUUCUGUUAAGUGGGAAGAAAGAACCGUUUUAAUAGAGACGGCGCAUGACGGUACCAUUAAAGAAAGCACCGGCUAAACUCGUGCCAGCCGCCGC